rnacentral:misc_RNA from 1 species
GUAUUGAUUGCGUAUGAUCGCAAAUGAAUGACAUUCUAAACUAGAAGGGUGUUUGUAUGAAAAACGCGAACCUCCCCUCUUGAAGCAAGCCAAGAGGAAGAGACCCCGCGCGGUGAUGCACAAAGGGUGAAAUGGAUUGAGAGCACUCGGGCGUGCACGACAAAAAGUCAGCGACAACCCGGGUACCCCCAUUGUACGAUAAUGAUCCUUCCGCAGGUUCACCUACGGAAA